UACGAAGGGGGCUAGCGUUGCUCGGAAUCACUGGGCGUAAAGCGCACGUAGGCGGAUUGCUAAGUCAGGGGUGAAAUCCUGGAGCUCAACUCCAGAACUGCCUUUGAUACUGGCGUGCUUGAGGACUGGAGAGGAGACUGGAAUUUACGGUGUAGCGGUGAAAUGCGUAGAUAUCGUAAGGAAGACCAGUGGCGAAGGCGGGUCUCUGGACAGUUCCUGACGCUGAGGCACGAAGGCCAGGGGAGCAAACGGG
rnacentral:rRNA from 1 species